GGAACUCUGAGACAGGUGCUGCAUGGCUGUCGUCAGCUCGUGUUGUGAAAUGUUGGGUUAAGUCCCGCAACGAGCGCAACCCUUAUCCUUUGUUGCCAGCGGUUAGGCCGGGAACUCAAAGGAGACUGCCAGUGAUAAACUGGAGGAAGGUGGGGAUGACGUCAAGUCAUCAUGGCCCUUACGAGUAGGGCUACACACGUACUACAAUGGCAUAUACAAAGAGAAGCGACCUCGCGAGAGCAAGCGGACCUCAUAAAGUAUGUCGUAGUCCGGAUUGGAGUCUGCAACUCGACUCCAUGAAGUCGGAAUCGCUAGUAAUCGUGGAUCAGAAUGCCACGGUGAAUACGUUCCCGGGCCUUGUACACACCGCCCGUCACACCAUGGGAGUGGGUUGCAAAAGAAGUAGGUAGCUUAACCUUCGGGAGGGCGCUUACCACUUUGUGAUUCAUGACUGGGGUGAAGUCGUAACAAGGUAACCG
rnacentral:rRNA from 1 species